CUUAAUCUUCCACUUUCGCCGUAAGUCAACAUUUUGGGGUGUAUCUUCUGGAAUUACAGCACCAUCACCAGAGAUAAGAUCCCACAAGUCCUGCCCUUGUAGAUAGGCUUCCAUGCAUAGCUUCCAGUAAUUAUAGUUGUUACCAACAAGCUUAUCUACAGAAACAUUGCUUCCACCAUUCAUCUUUACUGAGCAAUAAAAUCAAACACCUGGCAGACGACCAAGCUCUAAUACCAUGUAAA
rnacentral:lncRNA from 1 species